AUGUUCCUGAUAUCACGACAUUGAGGAAAUCCAAGUAGCCCUACACACAUAUAAUGAUGAUCGUAAGAAAGAAACUUAUGGCAUAAAUCUGUUAAACUUUGAUACAUCAGCUUAAUACACCAGAAGUUUAGAACUGAAGUAAAGUCAAACUGUGCUAAAUUGAAGCAUGACUCAUCGAGUUUAUGCAAAACCUAUUAUCAUCCCUUACCCAUCAUGCAUUUUUGAAAUAUAAUACAGGUCAGUAUUCAAGAUGGUGCCUUUCUUUGAUGUUCUUAGGUGUCUUUUCAAUCACCUUUUAUACCACUGGUUAGUACCCCACCAUUAAUGUUUCUGGGUGGUAGCAAAUGGAAACUCUGAGACGAGAAAAACACAACUGUUCAUUUAAAAGGAACCAGAGGAAAUGAAAGGAAGCCCACAUCCUGAGGUUUCGCAAAUCCAUGGAUUCUGGUUGGUUUAUAGUCCGUUUAGUUGUCCUUGCAACUUCCAGUAGUACUUUGUUGUUCUCGAACUUUUGAGGAAAUUGCCUUUGACCGCCAAUCUCUAAAGUGCUUUGGAAAUGUAUUACUUCCUGUCUUUCAUUAGUCUAGAUGGCUCUUGGAACCAGUGAAUAAGGCCACAGUUGUUGGAAGAGGCCCUGCCACGAAGUCGCUGUCCCGAAUACAUUGCUGAUUUGGAAG